rnacentral:misc_RNA from 1 species
GAUGUAAGAAAAAGAGUAGCGAAGGAGUGCCGACGUGCAUUGAACAGAACAGACGUGCCAUAGAAACACCCACACCCACACACACACACACACACGCAGACCGACGUGAGAAACGGAGGAUGUCCACAAUGGCGAGUGAGCUGGAACAGGCCCAGGCAAUCCUUGCAAGCGAGCGGAGAGGCCUCGGUCUCAUCCACCGGCCUCUUCGCACCACCCUGCUCUUUCUCUCAUACAGCAUUCAAGGUGCGGUGCACUAUGCAGAGGCGGCUCUAAGCAGGCCCCUCUUUAAUACCGUGCUUUUGCCGCUGAUGGUGAUAUUGUGCCUCGUGUCUUACUAUAUUGUGCCCUCCCCUGCGGCGGCGGUGUUCUCUGCGUUUGAUCUGAACCGGGACGGCCAGGUCACUGCGGCAGAGAUGAGCUCGUAUUACUCCACAGUCCUGAAGCAGCGCGGAGGUGACGGCGCUGCUGCCAUUGCUGAUCAGAUCCUAGGCAGCCGCACGGCCGUAAGCGUGGAUCAGUUCAGUGAAUGGUGGCAGUCGACCGCCAGCGAAGGGCAGUGGUACUGCGCUGCCGUGGCAAACGGCUGGUGGCGCGAGAUGGAGUACUGGCUGGCCGAUGCGCUUUACUGGGUUGUGCUUGGCGUGCUGUCGUCGAUCGGCCUCGGCACCGGCAUGCACUCUGGCCUUCUCUUCCUCUUUCCUCACAUUUACCGCACGUGUGCGGCGGUGCAGCGCUGCGGCAAUGCGAACUUCUGGACGUAUCCGACCAAUUUCUUCUACGGCCCACGUCAGCGCCUCUUCGUGUGCCUCGCGCCGGAGAGUCAGCCUGAACUCGCUGCGAGCAAGAUGUCGCUAGUGGAGUACUUGGUCAAGGUGGUGCCAGCGUGCAUGCUGUGGGGUGCUGGCACUGCCCUGGGCGAGGUUCCGCCGUACGCGCUGAGCUACGCUGCUGCGUUGCAGGGCCGCCAUGAGGAUGAUCUGCAGGAGUCUGCCGCUGCCUACGACAUGAUGUCUCUCGCGACGAACUGGACGCUUCAAAAGGUGCGCCGCUACGGCUUCUGGGCCAUCUUGCUGCUGGCCGCAUGGCCUAAUAUGGCGUAUGACCUAUGCGGCAUGGCGUGCGGGCAAUUCCUGAUGCCCUUCUCUACCUUCUUCUCUGCCACCUUGAUCGGCAAGGCAGUGAUCAAGGUCAACUUGCAGGCGGUCUUUUUCAUUGUUCUCUUUUCCGGCGACAUCAUCGAGCGCAUCAUGCAACGCUUGGGCAGCAGUGCUGCAUCUUUGCUACCCUCCUUUUUUCGAGUGGAGGCGGCGGUGGAGAAGGCUCUCUCGGCAGUUGUGCGGGCACGCGAGAGCAUCGCGAAGCGCGCUAAAGGCGGCGAUGUGUCUGCGACGGCGCCGGAGUUGGAGGAGCCGGAGUCGCUGCUCGUGCAGGCGAUGAACUGGUUCGUGGUGUGCAGCGUGGUGUGGUUCGGCAAGUCUAUCAUCGAGUCCUUUGCACGCUCAGAGCAGGAGCGCCGUGACGAAGACACGAUCUUCGAGUUGGAGAUGGCGUUGCGGCGUCGGCACCAGAGCCCGGCGCCAGUGACAGCGUCGGAGUUACAGGAAAUGCUUGCAGCAGCGCAGGCCGAUGCACAGAGCAGCGAGGGUGGCAUCGCGUUCGCCGCAAUGCGCUACCCGCGACUUCUCCUGACAGUGGCACUUGGGCUAAUCGCAUGGGGACUGUACAAUCAUCAAAGCAGGGCAUCUUCGCUCGGGCUCACUCUUUUGCUGCAUCGCUACCUUGACAAUCAGCUCUCGAAGAACGCGGCCGCCCGCACAUGCAUGCGCCGGGUGCUGCGCAUGGCCCUCGCCGCGGCGGUGCUGUACUUCUAUGUCUGAGAAUGAUGGUAAUGGGAGCUCUAAGGGGGAAAAACAGAACGUACGAGCUCGACGCUCAUGAGUAUCAGUGUUUAGUACGCUACGCUGAGCUCCUCAUUGCACAAUGCAUGCGGUGAUUGGGUUGCUUUUGAGGCGGAGUGACGCCUAGCGAGAGUGAUCAUGACUGCGGUGGAGGGGUGGGUAGGUAGAGGAGCAGCGGUAGGGGUGAAUGCGCGGAUAAGACGGUUCUUUCUGCUUUGUUCUUGUUGCCUAUCCUGCAGCCCACUUCUCCGCAUCAGAUCUCCCGCCAACCGCCCCGAUCGUCUCUCCCCACCCCUUCCCUCGUUCGGCGCGCUAUGCACUUUUCCCUUUUCUGUCUUUGCUCACAGCGACGGCACCAAUAGCGCGCAACGGUGGCAGUGACUGCCGGGAUGGAGUCGGCGUGGGGCGGCGUGGGGAAGGGGUGCGCAGUGCUGCGUGUGCCUUCCUCUCUCAUCCCCGCGUGCACUCACGCGUGUUUGUUAGCGUUCUUCGGGGGGGGGCCCUCGACGCGCUUUGUUCUCUCUCCCCCUUUUUUGGUUUCUCCGUUGCGUUUUUCCCCCCUUUUUUUGUCGGCCCAUUUUUUCAUGUUCACCGUUUCUCACUGCGUACGAACG